CAUUGCUUCUGCAGUUGAAGGGUUUUGGUCAUACACUUCCAUUUGCCUCCUCUCCGUAUUACAUUUUGUUUCCCUGCAUUUGCAAUUUCGUUUCUCCAUAAUCCAUUUCAACAUUUCAUUUCGUUUCUCCAUAUUCCAUUUCUCCAUAUUCUAGCAUGUUUGUUUUCGUUUUCUUUUUUUUUCCUACCUUAUCUUUGUAUCAUUCCUUAUAUUUUUUUAAUGUCGUUUUAUGUACCUUGCCUUUGAUUCCAGCAGUUUUGUUUCCAUUUUCUUUUUUUUCUACCUUAUCUUUGUAUCAUUCCUUAUAUUUUUUUGGUUAGUUGUUUUAUGUACGUUGCCUUUGUUUUAUAUUUUUUUUGGAUUUGAUUUUUUGUGGUUCUUGACCAUUUAUGCUGAAAGUAUUGUUGUUGUUGUGGUGCAUGUGUAUGAUUCCCUUUUCUUUUUUAUUUCCUACCUUAUCUGUGUAUCUUUCCUUAUAAAUUGUUGUUGUUGCCGUUUUACUUUUUCCCCUUAUUUCAUCUCAGAUAUGCAUGGUAGGCCUAAUUUUUUGCUUCUAAAAUAUAUGUUUUUAAUGUCGUUUUAUGUACCUCGCAUUUUUUUUUUCAAAAUAUAUGUUGUUGUUGUGUAUUGUUAUGGUUAGUUUAGGGUGUUGAUCGUAACCUACCCUAUUUAUCCUGUUUUCCUUUUUCGUUUCCCGUUUUGACCUAAGAUUUGCAUCUCUGCAUGGUAGCUCUAAUUUUUUACUUCUAAUAUAUGUUCUUAUGCAUUUGCAACACAUUUAUGGUGAAAUCUUUUUUUGUGGUGGAUUUCGUUGGUUACUUUAGGGUAUUUAUCGUAUCAUAGACCAUUUUUGUUGAAAUGCGAAGUUUGUUUUUAUAGCAAUGGUGCGUUUUUUUUUCCAGUUUUGUCACCUAAUAUCUGCAUCGUAGCCUAAAAUUUUUUGUUUUUAUAUUGUAUGCAUUUCGACAUGCUGUUGUUGUUGUUGCAGUUUUCCCUUAUUUCACUGUUGUGCUGAAAUCGUUUUGUAUGCCCUAUAUCAUUACCUUUGGUGUUCAUACCAUUUUUAAUAAUGUUCGAUUACUGUGUUGUCAUUUUUUGUAUUCCACACUUUUUGUUUUCUAUGACCUAAUUUUUAUUUGUGUGUGUAUUGUUUUGUUUAGUUAAGGGUGUUUAUUGUUUGGUAUAUCCUAACUGAACUUCGCUUAUGUUUUUGAUCGAGAACAACAAAGAAGAUGACUAAUAGUAUCCCGCAUUUGGAGUACAGUCAUGUCUUGAAAGGAAAAUCUGAUAUCUGAAUUGCAUCCGAAGAAAGGCACAUGGAAGAUAGCAGUGCAUAUUAAUGAUAUCUGGGAAGUUAAGAAGCACAAUGGGAGACAAGCGAUUGACAUGGGUGCAAAGAUUGGCGCCACGCUAUGGCAAGAAUUAUUGCCUAAAUUUCAAUCGAAGUUGCAUUUGGGUUGUUCGUAUUUGAUCCAGAACAUCAAAGUUGUGGACAAUUAGUCUGAUUACAAAGUAAGUGCAAUUCCAUUUUUGGUUUAUUUCGUCAAAACAACAUUUGUCAAGGAGGUUGAAAGACCUGAGAUUCCUGCUAAUGUACACGUGAUAACUGAAAUUGCUGAUAUUAUUUCUGGCGUUGCACCGCGACAUACUUUAGUUGAUGUUGUGGGUGUUGUUGUUGAAGUUAUCGAACGAAAAACAGUGAAUCCUGCAUACAGUGUUACGGUGAAGUUGAGAGAUAAUAGUGAUGCUGAGAUCGUCAUGACGCUGUGGGAGGAUUAUGCUCUUCAGCUAGAUGAUGCUAUUGAAAAAAACCAUUUUGUUAGGGAUCCGUUGGUGCUUAUGUUAACAUUGGCUAAGAUCAAAGAUGCCAAAGACAAGUAUCCCCUCAGUGUCCAAAAUAUCAAAAAUGGUUCCAAGUUGUAUGUGAACGCUGAUAUUUCCGAGAUCAAGAAAUUUUGUGAUAGCUACGAUAACUGCAAACAACAAAUUUACAUGUGCCAUUUUAUGUUGGUGGAGUAACAGAUGAAGGGAGUGGUUCGCAGUCCCAAUAUACCAACAAUUCACAAAGAAGUUCAUAGGAAAAUUUCUUGCAUAAUGCUCAGAUGGUCAGCUUAGGUGACAUAAGCAGAGAGACUGAGAGAGGGAUACCUAAUCACAAGCUAAGAAUCAAGGUUGGUACUCCCAUCAUACUACUACAAAGUUUGGACCAAGCAAAUGGUUUAUGCAAUGGAACUCGACUUAUUGUGACCAGACUUGGUACCAAUGUAGUUGAAGCAAAGAUAAUUACUGAACCCAAUAUAGGUCAUAGGACAUACACACCAAGAAUGAAUAUGUCUCCUUCUUAUUCUCCAUGGCCAUUCAAACUAAUUAGAAGACAAUUUUCAUUCAUGGUUUCAUUUGCAAUGGCCAUAAACAAGUCUCAGGGACAGUCCUUAGCACAUGUAGGAUUGUAUUUGCCAAACCCAGUAUUUUGUCAUGGCCAACUAUAUGUUGCACUUUCAUGAAUGCAAAAUAAAAAAGGACUACAUAUUCUUAUUCAUGAUAAUCGAGGCAUUGUAAAAAAAUACUACCAUCAAUGUAGUAUACAAAGAAGUAUUUGCAAACUUAUAAACAGCAUGACAAAACCAAGGCAACUGUUGCAAAUUUGUUAUUACAUCACUCUCACUAAAGUACAUUGAUUUAAAUUGUCCCCUUUUCAGCCUCUCUUUCAUUACAACAACAUCACACUAAUGACAAUCACAACAACACCAUCUAACAAUCUACAAUAGCAUCAGGUUAGUUUAAAAUCCUUACUUUAUGUUACUUUUUUCUACAAAUAGCUAAACAUUAUGAUCAUACAAAUAAACAUUAUUAUUAAACUUUACACAUGUGUUGAUAAUAUUCAAAUAGGAGUAUGAGCUCAUGCAUUGGCACGGGUGAAAGUCUAGUUUUAUAAAAAAAACAUUAUUGCAGUUUGCAUGUGGAUAGUAUUUUGGUGUUUUCAUGAAAAGAACAUUUUUGAAAAAAAAAUUAAAACACAUGUGGAUGGUGUGAAUAGCAGAAGUAGUAGUGUUAAUAGUAGCCCCUUUUACAUUUAGGUGUUGUUGGAUUUGUUCUUGCACCAAAUCUUAAUGGAUGCUCCCAUUUUUAAGUAAAAUGUGGUUCUAAAGUUGCUAUGUUCAUGUUUUGAAAGGAACAAUUUCAAGGGACAUGCUAGGUGCACCCAACCACAUUACUGGUGUACCCAGCAAUUAGGUGAAUGGACAAAAUUGUCCUUGUGUUAAAAAAAAUUU